CCUACGGGAGGCAGCAGUGAGGAAUAUUGGUCAAUGGGCGCAAGCCUGAACCAGCCAAGUAGCGUGAAGGAUGACUGCCCUCCGGGUUGUAAACUUCUUUUAUAAAGGAAUAAAGUGAGGCUCGUGUGCCUUUUUGUAUGUACUUUAUGAAUAAGGAUCGGCUAACUCCGUGCCAGCAGCCGCGGUAAUACGGAGGAUCCGCGCGUUAUCCGGAUUUAUUGGGUUUAAAGGGAGCGUAGAUGGGUUGUUAAGUCAGUUGUGAAAGUCUGCGGCUCAACCGUAAAAUUGCAAUUGAUACUGGCAGCCUUGAGUACAGUUGAGGUAGGCGGAAUUCGUGGUGUAGCGGUGAAAUGCUUAGAUAUCACGAAGAACCCCGAUCGCGAAGGCAGCUUACUAAGCUGUGACUGACACUGAGGCUCGAAAGUGUGGGUAUCAAACAGGAUUAGAUACCCUUGUAGUC
rnacentral:rRNA from 1 species